CAGCAGCCGCGGGAAUACAGAGGGUGCGAGCGUUAAUCGGAUUUACUGGGCGUAAAGCGUGCGUAGGCGGCUUCUUAAGUCGGAUGUGAAAUCCCUGAGCUUAACUUAGGAAUUGCAUUCGAUACUGGUUAGCUAGAGUGUGGGAGAGGAUGGUAGAAUUCCAGGUGUAGCGGUGAAAUGCGUAGAGAUCUGGAGGAAUACCGAUGGCGAAGGCAGCCAUCUGGCCUAACACUGACGCUGAGGUACGAAAGCAUGGGGAGCAAACAGGAUUAGAUACCCCGGUAGUCCCUGUCUCUUAUAC
rnacentral:rRNA from 1 species